UACGUGGGGGGCGAGCGUUGUCCGGAAUUAUUGGGCGUAAAGAGCUCGUAGGCGGUCUGUCGCGUCGGCUGUGAAAUCCCGAGGCUCAACCUCGGGUCUGCAGUCGAUACGGGCAAACUGGAGUGUUGCAGGGGAGACUGGAAUUCCUGGUGUAGCGGUGAAAUGCGCAGAUAUCAGGAGGAACACCGGUGGCGAAGGCGGGUCUCUGGGCAACAACUGACGCUGAGGAGCGAAAGCGUGGGGAGCGAACAGG
rnacentral:rRNA from 1 species